UUUUGAGAGGAUUAAUAUUCAACAGCAUAGUGAAUUUCUCUAAGAGAAAACAAAAAUUUUAAGUUCAUUAGAACACAUUCAUUCUGUGUCAGAAACCUAUGCUGUGUCAACUAUUUAAUCACAAUCCAAAUUUAGAGCUGAAUCCAGCUUGAAUGUUGUGUCCAUACUUGCCCCAACCGUUCAGGGUUCAACCUCUGCGGUCGUAUAAAGCUACGCCCUGCGGAGCAUCUGGUUGGUUAUUAUCUUGAAUAUUAUUAUAGAUAGAGAUAAACUGUAAACAGCAAUAAUGUUCAGCAAAGUAAGAUCUACAAAUAAGUCAACCUGACCCAAAUGGUCAGUUGACCCCUUUAGGAGUUAUUGCCCUUUUUAGUCAAUUUUUAACCAUUUUUCGUAAAUCUUAGUUAUCUUUUAGAAAAAUCUUCUCCUCUGAAACUACUGGGCCAAAUUAAACCAAACUUGGCCACAAUCAUCAUUGGGGUAUCUAGUUUAAAAAAUGUGUCCGGUGACCCGGCCAACUAACCAAGAUGGCCACCACGGCUAAAAAUAGAACAUAGGGGUAAAAUGCAGUUUUUGGCUUAUAACUCAAAAACUAAAGCAUUUAGAGCAAAUCUGACAUGGGGUAAAAUUGUUUAUAGGGUCAAGAUCUAUCUGCCCUGAAAUUUUCAGAUGAAUCGGACAACCUGAUGUUGGGUUGCUGCCCCUGAAUUGGUAAUUUUAAGGAAAUUUUGCUGUUCUUGGUUAUUAUCUUGAACAUUAUUAUAGAUAGAGAUAAACUGUAAACAGCAAUAAUGUUAAGCAAAGUAAGAUUAACAAAUAAGUCUACAUGACCGAAAUGGUCAGUUGACCCCUUUAGGAGUUAUUGCCCUUUAUAGUCAAUUUUUAACCAUUUUUCGUAAAUUAAAGUAAUCUUUUACAAAAAUCUUCUCCUCUGAAACUACUGGGCCAAAUUAAUCCAAACUUGA
rnacentral:lncRNA from 1 species